rnacentral:rRNA from 1 species
UACGAAGGGGGCUAGCGUUGUUCGGAAUCACUGGGCGUAAAGCGCACGUAGGCGGAUUCUUAAGUCAGGGGUGAAAUCCCGAGGCUCAACCUCGGAACCGCCUUUGAUACUGGGGAUCUCGAGUCCGGGAGAGGUGAGUGGAAUUGCCGGUGUAGUGGUGAAAUGCGUAGAGAUCGGCAGGAACACCCAGGGGGAAACCAGUCGACUGGGCAUCUACUGACGCUGAGGUGCGAGAGCGUGGGGAGCGAACCGG